rnacentral:rRNA from 1 species
CAGCAGCCACGGGAAUACGAAGGGUGCAAGCGUUAAUCGGAAUUACUGGGCGUAAAGCGCGCGUAGGUGGUUCAUUAAGUUGGAUGUGAAAGCCCUGGGCUCAACCUGGGAACUGCAUCCAAAACUGGUGAGCUAGAGUACGGUAGAGGGUAGUGGAAUUUCCUGUGUAGCGGUGAAAUGCGUAGAUAUAGGAAGGAACACCUGUGGCGAAAGCGGCUCACUGGACCAUUACUGACGCUGAGGCGCGAAAGCUAGGGGAGCAAACAGGAUUAGAUACCCCCGUAGUCCCUGUCUCUUAUAC